rnacentral:rRNA from 1 species
GACAUGAUAAUAUGGGUCCCACAAAUAUGAUCCUUCAGCUCRACUGGCUACCACACAGGUGCUGCAUGGCUGCCGUCAGCCCCUGCCGUAAGAUGUUGGGUUAAGUCCCGCAACGAGCGCAACCCUCAUCUUCAGUUGCCCCCGGGUAAGGCCGGGCACUCUCAAGAAACCGCCGGUGACAAGCCGGAGGAAGGCGGGGAUGACGUCAAGUCCCCAUGGCCCUUACAGGCUGGGCUACACACGUACUACAAUGGUGGUGACAGAGGGCUGCGAAAGCGCAAGCUCUAGCUAAUCUCUAAAAACCAUCUCAGUUCAGAUUGCACUCUGCAACUCGCGUCCAUGAAGUUGGAAUCGCUAGUAAUCGCAGAUCAGCACGAUGCGGUGAAUACGUCCCGGGCU